GUCUAUAUCAGUUUAAACGAAUUACAUUGGAAUCUAUUUAAGAAACGAAGAGUAUUAAACGUUAACCCUGAGACAGUUCUGUCAUUUUGUUAAGCAGCAAGAAAACAUUGUUUCCAAGUCAGGAAUAUGUUGUUUUCUAGUCGUUCCGUUGUUUGAUACGGUCAGUAGUUUUAAUUUUCAUAUUAAAAGGACUUCCCCCUAUCGGAAUUUAUCUUGAAGAAUGGUAUAUUUUUGUAAACACAUCUUUGUUCAACUCAAACAAUUGAUGACGCAGCAAGAAUUAAAUUUUGGAGAAAAAAAAUAUACAUGAUAUGUGGCGAACGAGAAAUCCAAAGUCGGAAUUUUUCUUGUGACUGGGGGUGAUCUCAGGUGCUCCGGAAGGGUAAGCAGAUCCUGCUCCACAUGUG
rnacentral:lncRNA from 1 species